rnacentral:rRNA from 1 species
UACGUAGGUGACCAGCGUUGUCCGGAUUUACUGGGUGUAAAGAGCGCGCAGGCGGUCGUUCAAGUCGAGUGUGAAAGCCCCCGGCUCAACUGGGGAGGGUCAUUCGAUACUGAUCGACUGGAAGGCAGGAGAGGGAAGCGGAAUUCCCGGUGUAGUGGUGAAAUGCGUAGAUAUCGGGAGGAACACCAGUGGCGAAGGCGGCUUCCUGGCCUGUUCUUGACGCUGAGGCGCGAAAGCUAGGGGAGCAAACGGG